rnacentral:lncRNA from 1 species
UUAGGAUGUAUAAUAUUUGCAAUAACAAUUUCAUAGGAAAAUGGUAUGUUAGAUACGAAAGAGGACUUCAAGAUCUUAUUAUCCUACCAAGUACAGAAUAUAGAUGAAACAACUAAGCUCAAGAUAAGUGUGUUGACUUGAUCAGGCUAAUGCAGUGGGUAACUAUUUGAAAGGAGCCCAAGUGUUCUGAUGCUGAGGGCAAGGCUGCUGUCAUUAUAUCCUGUCACCAUACAACUUCGAUUUUUUUCCUUCCAGCAUACAGGCAGUUUUAAAGAUAUAACGGAAUGUUAAAUGAGACUGUUCUGAUCUUGGAUUUUUAGCUGAGAAGGACACUUUCUAAAGAUGAGCGUUGGCACCUCCACUGGCAGGCUUGCUAAUAGGUGGCCAGAGUGGUCGCAGCCCCACAGCCACCUGCCAGCCAUGCAGUAGAAGAGCUGCCAUUUGAGCAUCUUCCACACAGAAGCCACAAACACCCAGCCACCCCAGCACCACUCCACGAAGACCUUCUGUCCCCUUAACUUUUUUGACCCUCCUGGCCCCAACCCUCGAGGAACCACCAGCAGCUCCUGAGUAGGGAGAAUAUUGAGGGAGGAGAAGAAAGUUCCUAUGCCAGGUUUUUGAACGUGGAGAAGCUCUGAGCUGUGGGGAAGGGAAGAAACUAUAGGCGGGAUGACAAAUGGAAAUUUUAAUACCUGGUUAUGGACCGUUGAUGGUCAUCUACUUACUUACUGACUUUAUUUAUUUAUUUAUUUGUUUAUAUUUUAUUGUUUGUUUAUACUUUCAAAAAGGGCCUAAGGUUUUGAUAAUAAAAGUAUAAUUUAUGAAGUUUCCAUUGUGGCUCAGCAGGGGGCUGAGAACCUGAUGUUUUCUCUGUGAGGACACAGGUUCAAUCCUUGGCCUCACUCACUGGAUUAAGGAUCUGGUGUUGCCACAAGCUGUGGUAUAGGUCACAGAUGCGAUUUGCAUCUGGUGUUGCCAUGGCUUUGGUGUAGACCAGAAGCUGCAGCUCCGAUUUGACCCCUAGCCUGGGAACUUCCAUAUGCCGCAGGUGCAGCUGUUAAUAAUAAUAAUAAAAAGCAUAAUUUAUAACUUUUUUCCCCUACU